UAGCUAAUGUAGAUGACACUGUUCCCAUGCUUCGCAAUGUUUACUGGAAAGAACUACGACUUCUAAUGUUUGUGUGGGUAGCUUUCCUUGCAAUUCAAAUUGUGAAGACCUACACCG